CAAGCCUCCAGGACAGACCCUCUUAGGGCCCUUCCAUAUGCUUUGCGCUCUUUAAACUUGUAAGAGCUGUUGAAUGCUGAUAUAUUUUCUUAUUCCAUUCUCUGGUAAGGUUUCUAAAUCCAUAUUUAGAAUCAUGACUUUUUUUCUUUAAACUACUGGAGCCUGAAAAUCCUUGACAAAAUCCGGUAGAUUGUCAUGUGUGUUUAUGGGACUUGGACUUUUCUUCUGUGCUUUAUCUCUUCCAAGUUCAUUGCUAUAUUUUCCUGUUGCACUGAUGCUCGAAGCGUUGUCACCUGAGGAAUAUGUGAAAUUACACAUGUGAUCCUUGCAUCUGGUGGUAUUCAUGAAAGAAAUGUGAUGGAGAACUGAACACUGCAUUGGAAGUGAAGAGGCAGCUGCUCUGAACUGUGGAUGUUCUGGAACAAGAUACAGAAACCUGUCACUUGCGUCAAUGUACAAACCCCUCUGGUUUCAGCAACAAAAGGCAGGUGUCAAUGCAAUGCAGAAGCUGAGGAAAGAGGUAAAUAUUCUUUUUAGUUGUAGACAUGGAUUUUAAUCUAUGGAAGGAACAGUUCCACCUUUUCAUGCUCUGUUUCCUCACUCUGGAGA
rnacentral:lncRNA from 1 species